ensembl:lncRNA
GUUUAUCUGCUUACGUGGAGGGGGAGGCGAUGGCCAGCCCUGAAAUGAAGUGCCUGAAUCCCAGGUGUGAUCUCUGUAAGAUCAAUUCGGACAUCUCUUAGGAGCACUCCAGAAUGUACGACAUGUUUCUAAAUAAAGGAGAAGGGGGCAGGUGGAGGCCACGUGAGAGAUGGACUGAAAGGCACCUGGACACUGGCUGCAGGAUCCAGAGGUUCAGGUCGGACGUCUGCACCGAAGGAAGACGCUGGGGAGCCAGUGAAGGUGGCUGAGCAGGCUGAACAUAACACCUUAAUUUUGAAGACAGUUACCCAGGUUUCCAGUUCAGGUCUAUCCUGUGCACCUAACUUCUCCCAGGAAUAUAUCACAGCUUCAUCUUCAUGCAUCGCACCGGUCCACCUUUCUUGGAGAGCAGGAUUAUUUGAUGUCGAGGAGGGCCCAAGAAACUUCACUGAAGAUUGAGAUGAAACCAAGUUCUCUGAGGCAUGGGGCAAAGGAAUAGCUAUAAAGGAGACCUGAAGAAAACAAAGUUUCUGAUUUAUGGGAGAAUUUUUGUGGAUGAGGAAUACAAUUUCCCUUGAUGAAGUACUGCCCCAUUCUGCUGAUAAUCUGUGUGAUUGUUUCCGGGGAGAUCAAAGGAUAUAGCAGGACCAACAUUUAAUUCUGGAAUCAGGAUCUCAGAGUUCACCAUCUUGGACUCAUGAAAUUGGGAACAAAGGAAGCCUGAAUGUUUCACCGGUCUCUCUGGUUGGAUGAAGUCUGCAUGGGAGCAACUGAGCUUCCUAGGUGGCUCACUGGUAAAGAAUCCACCUGCUAAUACAGUAGCUGCAGGAAACAGG